rnacentral:rRNA from 1 species
AGCGAACGCUGGCGGCAGGCCUAACACAUGCAAGUCGAACGGAUCCUUCGGGAUUAGUGGCGGACGGGUGAGUAACACGUGGGAACGUGCCUUUUGGUUCGGAACAACUCAGGGAGACUUGAGCUAAUACCGGAUAAGCCCUUCGGGGGAAAGAUUUAUCGCCAUUAGAGCGGCCCGCGUAGGAUUAGCUAGUUGGUGGGGUAAAGGCCCACCAAGGCUACGAUCCUUAGCUGGUCUGAGAGGAUGAUCAGCCACAUUGGGACUGAGACACGGCCCAAACUCCUACGGGAGGCGGCAGUGGGGAAUCUUGCGCAAUGGGCGAAAGCCUGACGCAGCCAUGCCGCGUGAAUGAUGAAGGUCUUAGGAUUGUAAAAUUCUUUCACCGGGGAACAUAAUGACGGUACCCACAGAAGAAGCCCCGGCUAACUCCGUGCCAGCCGCCGCCGUAAUAC